CCAGCAAAAGAAUAGUGAAGUGCGAAAGGCGGAUUCCGUGGCUCUUUUCCCCCACUACUCAGUUCUCACCAAUCAGUCCACAGGAAACUGAGUAGUGGGGGAAAAGAGUCACGGAAUCCGCCUUCCGCACUUCACUAUUCUUUCGCUGGGAAGACUAGCGUGCGGGUCUGCCGCUGAGCCGUGCCGACUCCGGUGUGUUUACAGUGUCGUGACUUCUGUUCUGCCGGGUCAAUGUGUCGUUUUGUCUACUUGUCGCCAGCAACCGUUAUCUGACGUGUUCCGAUGUGUUAAGUGUUGAAACAGAGAGACGUCCUUGGUUGUCAUCGGAAUAACCUCGCACGUCUAUGCCAUCCUAACCUCAAACCUGUUCGUCGGUGAGUGUGUGGCCGCCGCAGUAGCAGCAGCAGCCCCUGGUGCGGCGGGGGCGGGGCGUGCCGAGGUGAGACGGGGACGCUGCCGCUCACGGGGGCGGGUGUCGCGGAGGCGGGGGCCGGCGUGGGAGGGGCCUAGAGGAAAGAAAAGGCUGCUUGGCUCCACGCAAAUCCACCCCCGAAGAGACUUCCUGCAGCUGUAGCUGUGUUCGCCGAUGGGCGGCCAGUGUUUGGACUUUUUUCAGGCCGGCCGGUGGCGCCGCUGCUGUGGGGCGCCUGGCUCCCUCGCUGUGCUCGGUCACCCUGACACGCGCAGACCGCAAACCUCGUCAGGCGCGCACCGUCCCGGCAAAUCGGACCAACUACUGUGAUAUUUAUGUCGCGUUUUUGGAAGUGAGUGCGCAGUGCACCGCGCCCCGCCGCGCCCCGCCACGCCGCGCGCACCUCCCCUCGCUGUCGGCGGCCUCGUUUGACGCACGUCACGGCCACACACAGCGCUGGCGAUGCACAAAACAAUUUGGUUUUGUUGUGGUCAGUCUCUCAUUACGGACACAGAUAUGCCAUUCAAAGAGUUAAAUGAGCCUUUGUGCUGCUCAUGCUCUCUGAAAGCCCCUCCGGCCGCGCCACCUGCCCAGCAGAGCUGCGGGGUGCGCGCGGUGCAGGCAGGGUGCAGGCGCUCCGUAAGGCGCCGGUCUAUCCCCCGCGCCGGACGCCUCAGAGGGUGGCUGCGUGUGGGGUCGUCCGUCAUUGGUGUUCGAAUCAGUAUCAAGGGCAGUAAAAACUGUUACAUCCUCACAAACAAAUGUUGGUUUUACAAAUUGGAAGCUGCGAACAACUUGGCAGCUUCGCUUUAUAGUUUACAAUCUAACUCGAUGAAAGGUUAGUUAGCGUGCGACCUGCAAAUUUGUUCGCAACAGAUUUCAUCAACUUAUUUGCUCGAGGGCCGGAUCGAAUGGUGCUUAAACCAUUUUCUGUAGCCUCCCGAAUUGGAUCAGUAGAGAGCUCUCCGAGGGGUCCCCCACUCGUCAACUCGUUGUACACUUGGUCGCGCCCAACUCGCUCCUAACUCGCGUUCAACUCGCGACAACUCGCGAAAACUCACGAUAACUCGCGAAAACUCGCGAAAACUCACGAUAACUCGCGAAAACUCGCGUCAAAAUCGCGCAAAACCCUCUAAAAAUUGAUCCCAACUCGCGGCUUACUCGCGGCAACUCGGCAACUCGGCAACUCGUUGUACACCUAUUUUGGAAGUGGGGGACCCCUCGGAGCUCUCUCAGUUCAAUAGCAAGCAGCGGGAUAGAAGGUGCCCUUUCAUCCUCCGUCCCUCACGAGUGCACUGUUAAAAAAAUCGAUUGUAAUUUUACAAAUUUUGGUGGCAACUUUUUACGCAAUUCAAUGUUUGUAAAAUUACAAACUAAAACAAUUGUAAAAAAAAAUGCAAACGUGUUUUAAAAUUUCAGAAUUUGCGAUCUGAAAAUGAAAAACGUUAAUGUGAAUUUUCAAAACAUCAAGGUUUCUAAGAUGAAAGUAAUUUGCCAUGAACAUGGAGCAGGUGAACCUCAAACGGUCUUAAGAUCAGCUUAUCAGCUAGUUGGGCUGAGGGAGUGUCGGUUACCUCUUUGGGUAAAGUCACAACAAAAAUACGGGAGCGCGUGGCAGGCGCCCCCUACUGGGUGCGAACCGCGCCGUACCUAGCUAAGGAGAGGUAGCGGGGACCGGCGCGCGCUGGAAUAAGACCAAUUAUUUGGGGCAUUAACGUGACUUUUUGCUCCAAAACAAAUGCGUAGCCAGCUACAGCAUUGUGUUACAGAUCAUACCGCACAAAAAUACAUGUCAGUUUCUUGUGCAAAUUUUAGUUAAAUACUAAUAAUUGUUCUUGGAAGAGACGCGCUGACCACAUCGCCAUCUGGCGGCAGUUCUUUGAAGUACAGUCGCUGUUUUGUCGUAUGAAAGUCCUAAGUCACAACGAGCUUACGGGUGUGGAGGUUCGUUGUACUGUAGUACACCUGAUGGAGGACUUGUGCAGGUCCUGUUUCAUUUGGUUUUACUUCGCAAAAUUACAAACUGCAAUCGGAAAAUUACAAUCAAAUCUCACAUUUCCGAUAGAGUGAUGACAAUUUUACAAUCGCAAAUUGUAAAAUUACAAAUGUUUCCUAAUUUUCAGAAGAGAGAUUUGAAUUUUCAGAAAUCCGUUAUGAAUUUUAAUAACUAAUUGCAAAAUUGACAAUGUUAUGAAAUUUCCCAACCACGUUUGCAAUUUUACAACUGAUUCUGAUGUGAAAUUUCACAACUUUUUUAACAGUGUGAGUUCUGAUUCUGGCGCGGCGGGAAAAUACAUCAUUAGGUCAGGUCUCAUUUUAUAAAACGCGGACGGGACCCGUUUCUCCUUAGAAAGGCGGCGCGUCGGCUCUGCUUCUGCUUGCCUCACUGUUUUGAGAAGUAGUACGGAAUCGGGAUGAGGAGGCGAAACGAUAUCGGGGAAA